rnacentral:rRNA from 1 species
CCUAGGGGAGGCAGCAGUGGGGAAUUUUGGACAAUGGGGGCAACCCUGAUCCAGCCAUGCCGCGUGAGUGAAGAAGGCCUUCGGGUUGUAAAGCUCUUUCGGCCGGGAAGAAAUCGCACAGGCUAAUACUCUGUGUGGAUGACGGUACCGGCAUAAGAAGCACCGGCUAACUACGUGCCAUCAGCCGCGGUAAU